rnacentral:lncRNA from 1 species
ACGCAAAAGUUUAAUGUAAAGAUCCUAAAAUUAAACCGACCAUCUCUAGAGCAAGUGGCAAAGGACAUGGUAGUUGGUACCCGAGACUCAAGCUCGAAUGCUAGUUGAUUCACAUUUCUAGCUAACUUUAUUUCUAAAUAAAAUAAACGAAGCGGGUAGCGUGCUAUCUAUCUCUCCAAAAAAAAAAAAUUCUGCAUCGCCUCACACAUGCACGAAUUAAGUUUAUAGUUUUUAUUUUUUACGUUU